GGUUCACUGCGAUAAAAAGUAGCGAUGGAAAAAGGGACAUAACUCGCCAGAGGAGGUUGCUGGAGCCGUUGGUCUGAACUGCCCUGCCUUUUCCCUGCUCCAGUGCCGCUGCUACUGCUGGAAAGUGAUCGGAAAUGUUGCUGCUGUUGCCAUGGAUUAAGAAAAAGGGGUUUGUUGCAAUUAAUUCCUGCUAGUUCGACACUCUGAGGAACAAGCUAGAAAAGAGAGGAAAGAGCUGGAUAAGAUGCUUGAAGAGAAUAGGAAGAGAUUAUGGUUUUUAAUGGAUAUUGGAUGUGUGGAGAUUGAGUUUUGGGUGAGAUGAAUGUGUGAUUUAUUUUGUGAGAGGUGUGUGUGUGCGCACGCGCGGGAGUAUUUUAAUUGAUUUUUUCCCUAAUUACAUUUUCUUAGUUUAAUUAGUUUGUUUAGUUUUUGUUAGAUUAGCCAGUUUAGUUAUGCAUGCUUAGUGGAUUAUAGGUGGUUAGGAAGUUAUAUCUGAUUUGUAGUGGAUUUAGGUUGAACUUUUUGGUUGCUGCUGAUGCCUGGAAUGAAUGGUUUUCUGAGCUGUUUUAAUUGACAAAUGAUGGUUGUUGCAGUUUUGUUUCAAA